GUUAGAAGAUAUAAAACCAAAGACUCAUACGGAGUUUAGCUACACCAUCAUAUCUUUGAGAGGCAAGAAGAAGCUUGGUUAGUAUUUUGGAGUCAAAUAUGACUUGAUGUCAUGUGUAUGAUUAAGUAUAAGAACUUAAAACACAACUAGAGCAUAAAAGCCUAAGUAGGGUUGCCUUGUUAGAAGAUACAAAACCAAAGACUCAUA
rnacentral:sRNA from 1 species